rnacentral:rRNA from 1 species
UACGUAGGAGGCAAGCGUUGUCCGGAAUCACUGGGCGUAAAGCGCGUGUAGGUGGAAGAGGAAGUCUGCUGUGAAAGCGCCUGGCUUAACCGGGCGAGGUCGGUGGAAACUCCUCAUCUAGAGGUCGGUAGAGGGGGGUGGAAUUCCGGGUGUAGUGGUGAAAUGCGUAGAGAUCCGGAGGAACACCUGUGGCGAAGGCGGCCCCCUGGGCCGCGCCUGACGCUGAGACGCGAAAGCGCGGGGAGCGAACGGG